GUUGGGUAGGGGAGCGUUCUGUAAGCCUGCGAAGGUGUGCUGUGAGGCAUGCUGGAGGUAUCAGAAGUGCGAAUGCUGACAUAAGUAACGAUAAUGCGGGUGAAAAACCCGCACGCCGGAAGACCAAGGGUUCCUGUCCAACGUUAAUCGGGGCAGGGUGAGUCGACCCCUAAGGCGAGGCUGAAAAGCGUAGUCGAUGGGAAACGGGUUAAUAUUCCCGUACUGGUGGUAACUGCGAUGGGGGAACGGAGAAGGCUAGGUUGUCCGGGCGACGGUUGUCCCGGUUCAAGCAUGUAGGCAGAGUGAUUAGGCAAAUCCGGUCACUUAAUGCUGAGGUGUGAUGACGAACCACUAAGGUGGUGAAGCAAUUGAUGCCCUGCUUCCAGGAAAAGCCUCUAAGCUUCAGGUUACCAACAAUCGUACCCCAAACCGACACAGGUGGUCAGGUAGAGAAUACUCAGGCGCUUGAGAGAACUCGGGUGAAGGAACUAGGCAAAAUGGUGCCGUAACUUCGGGAGAAGGCACGCUGGCGGUAAGUGAAGUCCCUUGCGGACAGAGCCGAAGCCAGUCGAAGAUACCAGCUGGCUGCAACUGUUUAUUAAAAACACAGCACUGUGCAAACACGAAAGUGGACGUAUACGGUGUGACGCCUGCCCGGUGCUGGAAGGUUAAUUGAUGGGGUUAUCCUUAGGGAGAAGCUCUUGAUCGAAGCCCCAGUAAACGGCGGCCGUAACUAUAACGGUCCUAAGGUAGCGAAAUUCCUUGUCGGGUAAGUUCCGACCUGCACGAAUGGCGUAAUGAUGGCCAGGCUGUCUCCACCCGAGACUCAGUGAAAUUGAACUCGCUGUGAAGAUGCAGUGUACCCGCGGCAAGACGGAAAGACCCCGUGAACCUUUACUAUAGCUUGACACUGAACAUUGAGCCUUGAUGUGUAGGAUAGGUGGGAGACUUUGAAGUGUGGACGCCAGUCUGCAUGGAGUCAACCUUGAAAUACCACCCUUUAACGUUUGAUGUUCUAACCUAGGUCCAUAAUCUGGAUCGGGGACCGUGUCUGGUGGGUAGUUUGACUGGGGCGGUCUCCUCCUAAAGAGUAACGGAGGAGCACGAAGGUUGGCUAAGCAUGGUCGGACAUCAUGCGGUUAGUGCAAAGGCAUAAGCCAGCUUGACUGUGAGAGUGACGGCUCGAGCAGGUACGAAAGUAGGUCUUAGUGAUCCGGUGGUUCUGAAUGGAAGGGCCAUCGCUCAACGGAUAAAAGGUACUCCGGGGAUAACAGGCUGAUACCGCCCAAGAGUUCAUAUCGACGGCGGUGUUUGGCACCUCGAUGUCGGCUCAUCACAUCCUGGGGCUGAAGUAGGUCCCAAGGGUAUGGCUGUUCGCCAUUUAAAGUGGUACGCGAGCUGGGUUUAGAACGUCGUGAGACAGUUCGGUCCCUAUCUGCCGUGGGCGUUGGAAGAUUGAGAGGGGUUGCUCCUAGUACGAGAGGACCGGAGUGAACGCACCACUGGUGUUCGGGUUGUCAUGCCAAUGGCAUUGCCCGGUAGCUAAGUGCGGAAGAGAUAACCGCUGAAAGCAUCUAAGCGGGAAACUUGCCUCGAGAUGAGUCUUCCCUGUCACCUUGAGUGACCUAAAGGAACGUUUAAGACUAAGACGUUGAUAGGCUGGGUGUGUAAGCGUAGCGAUACGUUGAGCUAACCAGUACUAAUGAACCGUGAGGCUUAACCU
rnacentral:rRNA from 1 species